rfam:Halodesulfurarchaeum formicicum strain HSR6 chromosome, complete genome.
GCCAUUUGGCUGCUACGCCAUCUGGUGAAUGGCUCGGCUCGGAUGCCGACGAAGGACGUGCCAAGCUGCGAUAAGCCUGAGGGAGCCGCACGGAGGCUAAGAACUCAGGAUCUCCGAAUGGGAAUCCCCACCGCAAUUGCCACGCGCAAUGGGGAACGUCCGGAAUUGAAACAUCUUAGUACGGACAGGAAGAGAAAUCGUAACGAGACGCCGUUAGUAACCGCGAGUGAAGGCGGCAUAGCCCAAACCGAAGCCCUUCGGGGCAAUGUGGUGUGUGGGCUGGCUCUCAUCGCCUGAACGUCUGUGUGAAGUCUCCUGAAAUGGAGCGCGAGACAGGGUGAAAGCCCCGUAUCACAGUCCUUUACGGCGUGCGCCAGUACCGGAGUAGCGGGGGUUGGAAUUCCCUCGUGAACGAGGCAGGCAUCGACUGCCAAGGCUAAGUACUCUCCGAGACCGAUAGCGAACAAGUAGCGCGAGCGAACGCUGAAAAGUACCCUCCAACGGGGGGUGAAAUAGGGCCUGAAAUCAGAUGGUUAUAGAGCGACUGGGCACAAAAGGCCUCGUCGGGAACGAGCUGGACGAGAGUCCACAGUAGGACCAACGAGGAGCCGGUGUCGAGUCGUGCGUUUUGAAAAACGAGCCAGGGAGUGUACCUGUUUGGCGAGUCUAACUGGAGUAUCCAGGAAGGCAUAGGGAAACCGACAUGGCCGCAGAUCGGGUUACCGAUCCAGGGCCGCCGUCUUCAAGGGCGGGGAGUCAAACGGGUACGACCCGAAACCGGACGAUCUACGCGCAAACAAGGUGAAGCAUGGCGAAAGCUAUGUGGAGGCCUGUUAGGGUUGGUGUCUUACAAUACCCUCCCGUGAUUUGCGUGUAGGGGUGAAAGGCCCAUCGAGUCCGGCAACAGCUGGUUCCAACCGAAACAUGUCGAAGCAUGACCUCUGCCGAGGUAGUUCGUGGGGUAGAGCGACCGAUUGCGGAGACCGCCUCCGAGAGGAGUCGGCUCCGCUGUCAAACUCCAAACCUACGGACGCUGUCGACGCAGGGAGUCCGGUCUGCGGGGUAAGCCUGUGGACCGUGAGGGAGACAACCCAGAGCUGGGUUAAGGUCCCCAAGUGCAGGCUAAGUGUAAGAUCAAAGGUGGUCCCGAGCCACAGACAGCCGGGAGGUGAGCUUAGAAGCAGCUACCCUCCAAGGAAAGCGUAACAGCUCACCGGCCGAGGUUCGGGGCGCCCAAAAUGAUCGGGGCUCAAGUCUGCCACCGAGACCUAGCCACGGAGUUCACACUCCGAUUGCGUAGGUUGGCACUCUGUUCGGGCGGAAGUACGGGCGAGAGCUCGCAUGGACCGAAUAGAGAAGAAGAUCCUGGUCGUAGUAGCAGCGAAAGUCGGGUGAGAAUCUCGACGGCCGAAAGGGAAAGGGUUCCUCGGCACUGUUCGUCAGCCGAGGGUUAGCCGGUCCUCAGUGUUAUCGCAACUCGAAUAACACGAGCGGUAAACGGGUUAAUAUUCCCGUGCCAUCAUACAGUGAAAGUCGACGCCUUGGGGUCGGUCGAGCUGGGCUCUGCCCAGUCGAACCAUCAAAGCCCGUGGAAGCCGUAAUGGCACGAAGCGGGUGAACGGUGGGAUAGGGAAACUCGGCCUUACCUAGGGCCCGUGAAAAGACGAGUAUGAUGUCCGUACCGAGCACCGACACAGGUGCCCUGGCUGAGAAGGCCAAGGCCUGUCGGGAACAACCGACGUUAGGGAAUUCGGCAAUUUAGCCCCGUAAGUUCGCGAUAAGGGGUGCCUGCCCAGCAAUUGGGCAGGUCGCAGAGACCAGGAGGCUCCGACUGUCUAGUAACAACAUAGGUGACCGCAAAUCCGCAAGGACUCGUACGGUCACUGAAUCCUGCCCAGUGCGGGUAUCUGAACACCUAGUACAAUAGGACGAAGGACCCGUUAACGGCGGGGGUAACUAUGACCCUCUUAAGGUAGCGUAGUACCUUGCCGCUUCAGUAGCGGCUUGCAUGAAUGGAUCAACGAGAGCCUCGCUGUCCCAACGUUGGGCCCGGUGAAACGUACGUUCCAGUGCGGAGUCUGGAGUCCCCCAGGGGGAAGCGAAGACCCUAUAGAGCUUUACUGCAGGCUGUCGCUGGGACACGGUCGCUGAUGUGCAGCAUAGGUAGGAGCCGUCACACAGGUACCUGCGCUAGCAGGCCACCGAGGCAGCAGUGAAAUACUACCCGUCAGUGACUGUGACCCUCACUCCGGGAGGAGGACACCGGUAGCCGGGCAGUUUGACUGGGGCGGUACACGCUCGAAAAGAUAUCGAGCGUGCCCAAAGGAUACCUCAUUCGGGUCGGAGACCCGGAAAAGAGUGCAAGAGCAUAAGGUAUCCUGACAGUGUCCGGCAUAACGACGGACGCUGACGCGAAAGCGUGGUCUAGCGAACCAAUGAGCCUGCUUGAUGCGGGCCAUUGAUGACAGAAAAGCUACCUUAGGGAUAACAGAGUCGUCACUCGCAAGAGCACAUAUCGACCGAGUGGCUUGCUACCUCGAUGUCGGUUCCCUCCAUCCUGCCCGUGCAGAAGCGGGCAAGGGUGAGGUUGUUCGCCUAUUAAAGGAGGUCGUGAGCUGGGUUUAGACCGUCGUGAGACAGGUCGGCUGCUAUCUACUGGGGGUGCUAUGGUGUCUGACGGGAACGUCCGUAUAGUACGAGAGGAACUAUGGACGGAGGCCACUGGUGUACCGGUUGUCCAACAGGGCAAUGCCGGGCAGCUACGCCUCGCGGGGUAAGGGCUGAACGCAUCUAAGCCCGAAACCCACCCGGAAAAGAGACACCGCUGAGACCACUCGUAGAAGACGAGUUCGAUAGACUCGGGGUGUACGCACCGAGGCAACGAGGUGUUUAGCCCGCGAGUACUAACAGGUCGAAGCCACCAUUC